UGGGGAAUUUUGGACAAUGGGCGCAAGCCUGAUCCAGCAAUGCCGCGUGCAGGAAGAAGGCCUUCGGGUUGUAAACUGCUUUUGUACGGAACGAAAAGGCUCUGGUUAAUACCUGGGGCUCAUGACGGUACCGUAAGAAUAAGCACCGGCUAACUACGUGCCAGCAGCCGCGGUAAUACGUAGGGUGCGAGCGUUAAUCGGAAUUACUGGGCGUAAAGCGUGCGCAGGCGGUUUUGUAAGACAGGCGUGAAAUCCCCGGGCUCAACCUGGGAAUUGCGCUUGUGACUGCAAGGCUGGAGUGCGGCAGAGGGGGAUGGAAUUCCGCGUGUAGCAGUGAAAUGCGUAGAUAUGCGGAGGAACACCGAUGGCGAAGGCAAUCCCCUGGGCCUGCACUGACGCUCAUGCACGAAAGCGUGGGGAGCAAACA
rnacentral:rRNA from 1 species